GCUGGAACGGACCUGCCUUCUCAGGAACACCUCCCCUUCACACUCUCCAGGAGGAGAAUGCUUGAGUGGCUAAGUCUGCCACAUCUGAUGCAGAGGCAUUUCUGGGCAGGGUUUCAUGGCCAGUACUCAAGUUCUAAGUUACAUGCGUGUGUGUGUGCGCGUGCGUGUGUGUGUGUAUACACACAUUUAUCACAUAAGCUUCUAUAUCUAUCUAUCUAUAAUACACACACAGCUAUACACACAGACACAUAGUUGCCUCAGCUGACGAAUCCCAAGAACCAGCCUGUGGUCUAAUCAGAAUUGUCCAGAAGUAGAACUGAUUUCCCUUGAUACGUGUGAUACAACCCUCACGCUUUAUGCACAAAACAAUGUUUGUGUCCAUUUUCCUCAGAAAGAGGAGGUGGGUGCGAUGGGUCCUAGAGCUCCAAGUACUCCUUUCUAGUAUAAAUGAGUUGUGAGAAUAGUAAUUAGAUCACUAGGUAUAUAUGUCAUAUGAAUAAAGGAAUAUUUAGGCUAAUGAGCCAUCGGGUCAGACUGGAUCAGAGAGAAGGGCACGGGUGGCUGGACGGAAUGUUAAAAUGGAUGGUUGGCAGCUAGUUGGAUGGUUCAACUGGAUGGAGAAGUGGACGGUUAGAUGAUGACUAGAUUGAUGGAUGUGCGAAUUUAAGGUUAAUGCAUGGACAGGUUCCCUCUGUGCCCCCUCGUGCCCGCUGCACCUCAGAAACUGCUGGAAGCCGCUCUCACCCUCCUUAACCUCAGCAUCCCAGAGAAGUUUUCCCCCUCAGGCCAGAACAGGCCGGGGUGACUCUCGGGGCUGCUCCCUGUGCCUCUGGAGAGAGCUGUGUGGCAAUGGGCAGUGGAAACACCACUGGAGGGGAGGUCGUGGGUCACACGUGCCCUCUGGCUCAGCCCCUGACAUGGGAGCAGCCCUGGCAAGUCCCCCCGUAGGCUUGAAACCGUCUUUCUGUUUGUCACCGCUGCUUUCUUAGGUAUUGUUAGCCUCUUGUCUCCACAGGCUCCUCCUGGGGCCCCCGUCAACAUGCUCAGACCCUCUCGCCUUAAAAACGAAAGAACAGAAAGCCCCUUUGCCUCCACGCCCCUGCAGCUGCUGCAUGGCCCCUCGCCGGGGCACGGUGACCUUCCUCCGGAGAGCUGCUUGCACACGCCGUCUGUCUCCUCACCUCUCUGGUCCUCUCCACCCACCACACUCUGGCCUCUGGGCCGCUCACUCCACUCAAACGGGCUGCAGAGUCCCCAGUGACCCUCAGGACACUACAUCCUGAGUCCCCCUGUCCUCUUCCUAGCUUUCUGGCAGCUGCCGGCGCUUACGAACACUCCUGGCUUCUUGAAACACUCUUCUCCACUUCUUGCAUGACACAGCAUUCUUCUGGGGCUUUCUACAUCUCUGGCUGCUCCUCCAUCCGCUCCCACCAGGUCCAUCCUCUACCGGCCAGUCAGCAGUGGUGACCGUGAGGCUCAGGUCAGCUCUCUCCUCCUGUGACUCACAACUCUCACCUCGGGCAACUUGAUCCCUGUGUCAGGUUGGAUGACCGGCUCUAUUUUCUGCCCCCCAAAUGUGCAUCCCCAGCUCGGCCCUCUCUGUGCCUCCAAAUGUGCACUAGGACGCCUGAAAGGCACAGCAGCCUCUACAUGUCCACGGCCACGCUUACAAUCCUCUCCCCUCCCCACCGCAGCGCUGGUCAGCCUCGGUGCUCACGUCUCAGUGAGGGGCCCCGCCGGCCGUCCAGCUGUGCAACUUGGAGACCCGGGGGCCUGCACACCUCUCCCCCUCGGCCUCCAUGGCCAGACUAGCAGCAGUUUCUGUCAUCUCACUUCCUCAACAGCUUUGAACUCAGUACAGUUCUUCGCAUCAUCACUGUCCCAUCCUGACCCAAACCACGGUCAUUUUUCCCUGGACCACAAUGGCCUCUUAAGUGGUCUCCCCACAUCCCCUCUUGUGUUUUUCCAACCCAUUUUCCAUGUGGCAGCCACUCCGCACGUGGGUUCUGCCCCGCGGCUCAGAGAUGGGGAGACUACUCUCCUGGAGAGGGUGGGGCCUGCCUCGGGUCACAGUGGGGCCGGCGCCCAGGCGGCCCUGUUUCCAUGUAGGCUGGAGGACCGUUAGAGCUCAGCCAGGCCUCCUCGGAACGGAACGGAGAAGAGGCUCUGAAAUUUGCAGUAUCAGGUUUCAGAAAACACGGGGUCAGGGUCAGCAGAGCAGCUGGUGGUGGGGAAGGCCAGGCCCAGUUAAUUUCCUGUCAGAAUGGCCCGGAGGCCCCAGGCCCUCUCCGGGUUGGCCACAGGGGAGGAGAUGCCGGGAAUGGCUCACAUUCCUCUGGCUGGGGCUGCACUGAACCUCGGGGGACUUGCGGGGAGCGAGGAGGUGGAUCUGUUGAGGCCAGAGCUGGGGGCUCUCUGCAGGGACCAGGCAUCUGUUGUCCAGUCCUUAGGCUGGGAUGGGUCCAGGGACUGAGGAGCAGACGGAAAAAAACCACCAAAGCUGCUGGAGCUUUGGGAUAAAUGAGCUCAACCUCACAUUUCACAGAUGAGGAAACAGAGGCUCAGACAGGACCAGAUCUCACCGGGGUCACUCAAGUGUCCUCGUUCUCAGCCCUGAGCUCUCUGUUCUGGCCGGCCUAUGUUUCCUGGAAGGUCUAGCUUUGUUGAGCUGUGUGACAGUGGGGGACAAGCCUGGCUAGACCUGCACUCCUCUUGGAAGGGAGGCAGGAACCCUCGCUUCCAGACCGGGUCCAUGCUUCUCAGGUGGUCUAGCUCGGGUGUGCGUAGCUUAUGUGGAGAGUGCGAGAGCGCUGAGUCAGCUGUGGGCCUCGUCCUCUCCCUGGAAGGUCCCAGCUCAUUCCACCUACAGAGAGAACUUUAUGUCCUGGUCCAGGCCCCAAGAGGAUGACGCCAUGGAGGUGUGCUCCUGGCCUGGAAUGGCCCUCCAAGUGCCCCGGCCGGGCUGAAUGGGAGGCAGAGGUCAGGGGUACCCUGUACUCUCCAUUCUCUGGUGCCAAGACUGUCCUGGUUGAAGUAUGAUGCCUGGAGAGGGCGAGCCCAGGACGCAGUCCCACAAACCUGGGUUCAAACCAGGCUCCAUCAGACACUACUGUGUGACCUCAGACGGGUCAUUUAACCUCUGCAAAUCAUGGACUCCUCAGCUGCAAAGCGGGGAGGGACUUGAUUUCUUUCUCUCCAUCAAGUUGUUCGGUGGGUCUGUGACUUGGGCAGGGGGUCUCCUGUGUGACGCUGUGGGACAACCCCUCCCAGAGCCUGGAAGUGCUGCCCACGCCCUUUCCCCACCCGCGCCCGGGGAAGCAUGCGCCUGCUUAUGGACUCAGGGCAGGGGCCUCUGAUCUGCUGGCCAACCUUCCCCCACCCCCAGCACUGGACUCUGAGGCUGUGGCCAUUUUCAGGUGUCCCAGGCAUCAAGCCCACAGUCCUGACUGCCCCCCCUCUUGCCCCCCUCCCUUCCACCCCACCAGUUAGGCCCCAGUCCUACAGAGACCACCUCGGGCAUGUCUCUGAAGCUUCUGCGUCUAUCCAGCCCCAUUGCCUUCUUGUCUGAACAACCACAACAGCCCCUGGCCGCCCUCCCUGCUUCCAGCCCCCGUGCAUUCUUUCCCAGGGACAUCUUUCUAAACUUGUGUCACAACCUUGGCCUCCUCCACUCCACCUUUGCCCAGCUAGCUCCUUCUUGUCCUAAGACUCAGUGUACAUGUCUUUAACUCAGGGAAGUCUUCUCUGACUAGGAUCUCCUCCCACCUUCUUGCAGGCUGCCAGCUGUCCUCGCCUUGUCACAGUUCUGAUUACACCUUGCAGGUGAAGAAGAUGAGGCUCAGAGAAGUUAAGUACCACCCAAGGCCCCAAAGCUAGUAAGUCGCAAGCCAGAAGCUUCAGUGUACACUGACCUGAGGUAGAAAAUGCUGACAUCUUUGUUCCUUUGGGUCCAGAACUCCAAAAGAGAUAAGCCCCCAGACCUUUGGUGGUGGCGGUGCAAACGCGCCUCUCAGAUUUCAGACUGGUCCCCGCUACUGUGCCCGGAUCAUGGCCAUCACUGUUUGCACUGAGGCCCUCAGGCUGCUUCCAGCCAUUGACUCCGGCAGGUCCCCUCUUGGAGAUGCAAGACCCCCCCCGACAGACAAGUUGGCACAAGGAUUCCCCAAGGGCUUGCUACUUUCUUAGAUCUGAACCACAACCUGAGACUCUUCACCCCACCUUCUGUCCUGCCCUCUCUCCUCCGCAGGGUCCAAACUACGUCACAGUCUGACGUCCCUCCCAACUUCCCCCUGGCUCCCCGCCCAUCUUCCCUCACAGGUGUCCCCCAUAAAUCUCUUGCACAUAGAGUCCUGUCUUGGUGUCUGCUUCUUCAAGGACCAGAACGAAUGUAAGUAGUCUGAGGAAACAGUGGUAAGAUGGGGAUUUGGGGCUGUCCCACUCAGAGGCAAUGGGGAGGAAGAUGUUGUCCUGAUUGAUAGGAGGCCCCCAGAGAGUCCUUAGAACAAGGCAGCAGCUCAAAUGCUAAACAUUUCACCAGCGAGGACCUGGGAAAAUUUCCUGGAGGAGAGGAGUGCUGGCAGGUGUGAUAAUUCAAGCAUUUGAAAAAUAGAGGGGCAAAGAUGCCUUCAAAAAAUUGGCUGGUUACUGCAGAGGGAAGAAGGACUGCGGGCCACUAAUGAGCAGUGGAGGGGUAGGCGUGGAGGCCGAGAGCCCUGCGGUGGCUUACAAAGAGGCCCUUAUCUCUGGCAGUGGAGGGCAGAUACGGCUGAGUGGCGGGCUGAAGACAAACCGUUAGCGUUGCAGAGCGCCAGAUAAGUCUGAAGGCUCAGCCAAGGCGGUUAUGAGAAGAUCGGGCCCUGGUGGGGAAAAUCUGGACCCCUGACCCAUGAGAUAAAGACAUCUGGAUGGAUGCCCUGAGGCCGCCGCGCAGCCUCCCUGACCCUCUGAGCUUGCAGAGGUGGCCCGCCCUUCUGCAGAAGAGCUACCCCUCUGCAGUGCUGAAAGAUUCCCAAGAGGCCUCGCCCCGGCAGGGGCCCUCUCAGUGGCUGCCCCACUGCCUCUCCUGGGUGCCAGGGACAAGCAUUAGGGUUGAAUUCCAGAAUAAUCUGGCUGCAGACAUGCUGGGCCUGAUAAGGGAGGAAAGAGACUAUAUCAUGAAAGAAUGGUAACUCUCAUGGAUCCUGGAACAAACCAGGGAUGCUCCUGGGACUGGAUUUUGCGAAUGCCUGAUUAAGGAGGCUGGAAUGUAAGACUGGCUAACAAGAAUCCAUCGGCUGGAGGGCACUUUCUUGAGACGCAAGAUUUAAUAUCCUAGCGAGGAUACCAGGGGAUGGGGCAGACUCUGCUAGGGUGGCUCUUAGAAGUCUGGAAAAAGUAGUGGCUAACACUCAGUGCAGUGGAAAUACCUGAGUUCUCCUGGCAGAUGGUAGAGAAGAAGUUAAAAAAGCUGAGGAAAGUGGACACGUUGGAACGGAUUUGUUAUCUAAGGCCAGUAAUGACAGGCAAGGACAGAGGGGCAGGCAAGGGGGCUUGACCCACAGAAAGCUGUGGAGAUGGUGAAUGGAGCAGGGUAUCCCCAGGAGCAAACCAGAGGGGCAGCCAAGAAGCCUCUGCUUAAUAUCUACAGCCAGAAAAGCAGACAGGAGUGGGGGAGCAGAAGGCAGGGGCAAUAGGAGGUCACCGUCCCUUGCUCAGUUCCCAGACCUGAACCAAUUUUCAGAUAUGAAACCCGCUGACCGAAGAGGUGGCCAGAUCUCUAGGAAUAGGACCCUGCCAAACCUCAAGUAUGUAUCAUGAUGAUUCCUUCAGGAUUCUUCCAAAGGCCUGUGGCCAUUUGUUUGGGUGAUUGUUCACUAGAGAAAGGGGAAUAACAAGACAUUUGAGGACUAGUAGACACAGAGUUUGAGUUGACGUUAACACCUGGAGACUCAAAGCAUCAUCGUGGGCCCCUUUUCAGAGCCAGGCCAUGGUGGUCAGGCAGUAAGUGGAGUCCUGGCUAAAGUCUGGAUUGCAGUGGGCCUGCUGGGUCCACGAACCCACCCAGAAGCCCCUUGUCCCUGAGAGUGUCAUUAGAAUUCACAUGCUUUGACAGUUGGAGUAACCCCUACCUCAGUCCUGGUCUACUGGGUGGGAGCUAUUAGAGCCAAGAAGGCCAAGUAGAAACUUCUGAAACUGCCGUGCCCCUUCUCCUCGCCCUGCCCGAGAUAGUAAACCAAAAAUAACAUCUCAUCCUAGGGGCUGUGGUAGAAAUUAAUUCCACGACUAACAACUAAGGAUGAAGGAGUGUGGUCCCUACCAUUGAUUUCUUCAUUUAACUCACCAGUCUGACCUCUGCAGAAAUUGGACGGAUCCUGGAGGAAGACCGCAGACCGCCACGGCUUAACCAAGGGGGAGCCCUGCUCGCAGCUGCUGUGCCUGACGUGGAGUCCUUGCCGGAGCAGGUUCACGAGGCCUUAGGUAUGUGGCCAGCAGUAAUUCAGUGCCUGUGGUCUUUUCCAUUCCAAUUAGAAAAGAGGAUCAGAAACAGUUCACAUUCACAUGGGAUGGACAACAAUAUUCAUUUACACUUUUGCCUCGGGGCUAUGUUAACUGUCUCUCUGACUUAAUAUAAUCCCAAGAGAUCAGGACCAUGAUCCCACAGAACAUCACCCUGAUCCAUUGCAUCGCUGCGCCAUGCUGGUUAGACAGGAUGAGCAAGAGGUGUCCCUAUGCUGGAAGCCGCGGCUAAGUCACAUGCACUCCAGAGUGCGGCAUAUAAAACCUAUGACGAUUCAAAGACCUACCACUUCAAUGAAGUUUUGAAGGGGUUCAGUGGUCAGGGGGAUGCCAAGAUAUCCCCUCCCAAGUAAACGAAAUGGCUGCAUUUUGUAUUUCUUACCACAAGAAAGCACAAUGCCUGGUAACCCUCUUGGGGUUAGAGACAACCCAUUAUUCUGGGUGACAAGGAAGGCUGCCAGCUGUAGGUGGGCCCCAGGACGGGAAGAGGCUCUGCUGAAGGUUUAGGCUGCAGUGCAAGCAGUCCUGCCAUUUGGGUUAUGCUGUUUGGCAGACUCUCUGGUGCUGGAAUAGUCAAUAGUGGGAGAGGGAAAAGGUGUAGUUGGAGCUUAUGUCAAGUCCCAGUGGGAGAAGUGUAGAGCAGGACCCUGGGAUUCCAUGGCAAGGCCACACCAUCGGCAACAGAGGGCUGCAUGCCUUUUGAGAAACUGUUUCUGGCAUGUUACUGGGGUCUGGUAGAGACAGAACACUCGCCCAGGGCACACCAAGUGGGACAUCUGAAACUGCCCUCUGAGCUGGGUUCUGUUGGAUGCAUCAAGUCAUAAAGUCAGAUGGGGCUGACAGCAGUCCGUCAUAAGACAGAAAUGCUGCCUCUGGGACUGAGCCAGACUGAGGCAGAGGGCAUGAGUAAACUGCAUGAGGACAUAGCCAGAGCCCAUUCUCUGGCUUGUACUUAUGGUCGCAUGGAGGGUUCUGUACAACCAACUGAAAGAGGAGGAAAAAGCCUGAGCUUGGUUUAUGGAUGGGUCAAAGUGGCACAUGGGUACAAGCUGAAGAUGGACAGUGGCUGUAUGACAGGUGUAAGGGAAAGGGAAAAUAUUCUUCCUGGAUAGAGCUGUGAGCAGAGUGCUUGCUCACCUACCUUGUUGCACAAGAAAAAGUGGCCCAAGGUGGUGAGAAUAUAUACACCCUCUUGGGCAGUGGCCAAUGGUCUGGCCAUUUGUUCAGGGGCCUGGAAGGAAAAGGACUGGCAGAUUGGGGACAAGGAGGUGUGAGGUAGAGGCAUGUGGAUGGAUGCAGGAGAUAAAGCAUGAAGCGUGAGGGUUGCAGUACCACACACUAAUGCCCAUUAGAAAGCACUCGAAACAGAAGCAGCAGUGAAUAAGCAAGGAAAGAAAAUGUCUUGGACAGUUGACACAAGCCAGUCCUUGUCAUUGGCUACUCUGGAACUGGCAUGAUGGGCAUAUGAGUGGAAUGGCCACAGUGGCAGAGGCAGAAGCCACAGAGGGGCUAACAUGGGCCCAGCAGCACGGACUCCCUAGGAACUGCUGCCUCUGAAUGUCCAACCCAUCAGCAAAAGAGACCAGUGCUGAGCCCCUGCAGUGGCACUGUGUCUCAAGGAGCCCAACUCACCGCUUGAAGGCAAGUCAACUGCAUCAGGCUCCUUCCAUCCCGAAGCGUCAGCGGUUCACCCUCUUUGGGAAAGAGAUCUAUUAUGGGUUUGCCUUUCCUGACCACAGAGCCUCAGUCAGCACUGCUGUCCAGGGACUUACAGAACGCCUGAUCUGAAGGCAUGGAAUUCCACCCAGUACAGCAUUUGACCAGGGACACUGGAGGGUCCCACUGGACUAGACUAUGGCUGCCACCAGGGCACUUUGGAUUCCUUAUGUCCAGGGACCAGCCGGGGGACUUGACCCUGAUCAGCAGGAUUCAGGGCUGCUACUCCAUAAUGGGGACAGGAAGGAAUGUGUGCACCCAGGUGAUCCACUGAGCACUCCCAGAUGAUCCCCACUGUCAUCAUGAAAGGACAUGCGCAGCAACCCUGACCUGAGAAGGGUUUGAUUACCAAGCCUUGAGGUCCCCUUUCCCCCUUCCCCGGAAUGAAGGCUGGGGUCACACCACCAGGUGAGCCAUCAACCUCUGCCAAGGUUGCUGAGCGUGAGGAGGAUUCAGGAUGGAGGGUAGGGGAGGGAGAGGAUGAGACUAAAUACACCGACGGGGGUUGUAGUUAGUUCUACCAUCUCCCUUUCUCUCUUCUGAGUCUCCCUUAGGAACAGCCCAAGGGAAACAGGCAAGAGCUGCCCUCUGUAUCUGGUGGAGAAGCAGCACCGUGUGGCACAAGGGUGGACUGUGACAACCAUGAAGACUUCUCUCGGUUCUCUGGCUGCAGGGAUUGGAAGUGGCCGCCAGCGCCAGCUGCUGUAUCCUGAAAUCUAUUACUGAGUUUGCACUAAGAAUGCACUUCCUACGAGCUGCUGCCUGCCAGUGACUGAGCGUGGCGGGGAUCCUGGCAGGCCGUCCUCAGGAGAUUGCCGAUGGCUUGAGGACUUCUCACCUGCCUUGCCGAGCCUCAUUAGACCUGCCCUGCAGUCUAAGUCUCCUCCGCCCACCUCUCCUUCCUUCUCUCUUUCACAAGGUCACACCCGCACCAUGGUCUCCUGGCUCUCCCAGGCUCCCCUGCUUCCCUUCCAUUACAAUUUGAGAAGCACUGAUUUAGAUGAUUUUGUGUUUAAAUCCUUUAAAUCUCAGUUUGGAACCUGAGUCUUUGCAAAGGUAAACAGUUGGAAUCACAAAACCAUCUGGGUCCUUCAUUUUGUAGGUCAAAGCCCAGCAAAGUUAAGGCACUAGUUCAAAGUCACAUGGCGAACUAGAAUAGAGCCAGCACCCAGGGGUCUUACCCGCCAGCUCUUCCCACUGUAGGCUCUUCUGUGAGCAGGCUGCUUGCUCUAAAUGUGCAUUGUCUACUGUGGUAGCACCGGAAAUGUGGCUAGUUGUGGUGUAAUAAAAAAACACUUGGUCUUUGUCCUGGGUUCCUGGCCUGGAGUCCCUCAAACCCUUAGAAUCUCCUGGGUGAUGGCGUGUCUCUCGUUAUUCACAAGGAGCGCCUCUGACCACACCUGUGUUUAUGCGAACGAAGUGACUCACGGUGGGGCCCUAGAUAGCUUCAGGAUGGGCGCUGGUCAUUGGAAAGACCAAACAUGUGCAUGGAGGGUGGGAACUUGCAGCUUCAGGGGAGGCGGUGGGGGCUGGAGAAUGAGUUAUAAAAACUCUUGAACAAGAUUCAAAGAGCCCCCGGUUGGUGACCACAUUGAGACGCCGGGAGGGUGGAGGCCCCGGGAGGCAUGGAAGGUCUGCCCUCCCCCUUCUCCCACAGCCCUACGCCUCCUUCCCACGUGGCUGCUGCGGAGUGGUACCUUCAAAAUAAACUGAUAAACAAGUAAAGUGUU